rnacentral:snRNA from 1 species
GAAUGAGAGUGUGGUCUGGCUAUCACACCUGUCACCCAGUUGAUAGCCGGGUCUAUUCAGCUGAUCUGGCUGGCUAAGAGGAGCAUUCUCUCUUCCGUCUUUGCUCCCUGCAUGUUCUAUCAGAACUGCCUACGUGGUCAAAGAGGAAGGUUUCCCUGUUGGAAGAUGACUAUCCUUUAUUCAAGUGUGUUUAAAUAGCUAUGUGCCCGUCUACUAGAAUUUUCAAUGAAGCUUUGCAAAAAGGGGUCAGUAAAAGACAAAAUAAAAAACAUUGAUCUAGGAAAAAAGAAAAGCAUUUGGUUUCUUAUGGU